rnacentral:lncRNA from 1 species
CAAAUAAAUUAGAGAGAUAGACAUGAAGAGACUCACAAGAGAAAGAAGAGAGGCCCACGAAUCCAAGGAGGGAGGAUAAGUAAAAGCUAGCAAGCUUUGAUCAAAUAAGAAAGAAGAAGAAGAAUAGAACCACAAAGGUAAGCCUCAAAUUCUAGAACUCUUCAUCUCUUUUGAUUUUAUUUCUUUGAGUUGAUUAGUUGUUGGUGGUUAUUGUAAUGGAAGAUCGUGAUGGAUCUUGAAGAUAUAAGGAUAGAUUUUUUGGAUAUUGGAUGUUAACAUGUUAGGAUUUCAUGAAAAUCAAGUUUUUAAGCAUGCACAUCAUUUGUUUGAUAACCUAGAAGAAAUUAUUAUAUUUAAAUAUGAAAAUUAUCUACUAUUUGUGGAAAUUUUUAGAUGUAUAUGUCAGUUAUGAGUUAACUCAAGAUGGUUUGAUGGUUUGAAAUGAUUUCAAAAUGGGAUUUGAAGAAAUUCUUACAAACUAGUUAAAAUUAAAAUCGUAAGCCUAUGAGUUAAGGAUGGAAAAACAUUAUGUAGAUGACUUUAAUCGAACUAAUGAAAUCGUUAGAUCAUAAGAUGUAUAUUAAAUUCCGAGAAGAAGGAAUUAAGUGUAUGGGAGUUAUGAAAAUGUUUCCAUUGGAACAGAGUAAAAAAUGUGUUAAAACGAAGUCCUGAAGAUUUUUUUUGGUAAAAGAUGUAAAAUGAAGAAAAGUUAGUCUCGGGGAUGGGGGAACUUUUGAGCCAAUUUUUUAGGAUUGUUAGAGAAUAUGAAAAAUUAUUUCGUUCGAAGGGAUGCCUAGAGAAUGUUACAACAAAGAAAAUGACGUAAGACCGAGCUCAUUCCGAUAUCGGACAAGCAAGUUAUGAUGCAUCAAAGUAAGCACGUUAAAACUAUACGAAGUCAAAAUUUUGACAAAGUUUGAAAAAGUGCAGAGGCUUCAGUGGCUGCAGAGCCGUCUACUCUAGCCAUAAGCUAAUUUGAGACCGCCAGCGCUAGAUUCGCAUAUCCAGAUCCGUCCACAUUGGCCAUAGGGAAAAUUAAGAUUCGGUUGCGCUGGAUCCGUAGAAGGUUGGACAAUCUAGACAUCCUUUAGUAAAGUGGACAUAACUCUUUUGUAUGAACUUCGAUUGAGGUGAUUCAAGAUGAUCCGAAAAGAUAAGAAAUAGACCUAAAAUUUUUAUUAUUUAAGUUUUGAGAUUUGAGGUCGGGAGAAGGGUCUAAAAUGGCCAUUUGUAGGACUGUUGUGCAGUUGAAGGCAAUCGAAGGGCGUCGGGCAUGCGCGUAUACAAUGUGUAAUGCUUCUGACAAUAAAAUAUAUUAUUCUAAGUUCUAAAACUUUAACAUUAUGAAAUAUAAUGAUAUUUAACAUUAAUCAAUGAUGAAUUAGAUAAGUGUAUAAGCAUGCUAAGUAUAUGCAAAGGUGGCAAAUCGGGCAUGUGACAUAUGAACGUCAAAACGUCGUGACACAUGUUAAUGAACUUAAAAGGUGUUUCAAUUCAAAUGAAAUGAACAUGAUAAUAUAUGGAGUGGGGUUAAUAUAAACCAAUAAGGAUGUAUGAUUAUGAGGGUUGUAACGUUUAUGAACGACACGACGCUUAGAAAUGUUUGGAAGAUGGUCGCGUUAAUUAAACUAUAAUGCGCGAACAAUAUGAAAUAAGAAUUAAUAUAAACCAAGUUGAGCGUCAUUAAGUGACUAAUUGGUAUGUUAUACAUUAUCGAUAUAUGUAGGUUAUUCGAAGAGCUAUGUAGUGUAAGUAGUAAAGGAACAUAAAAGGAAAGUUUCCUAACUUACUCAAUAUUUGCAUUUGAGCAAGUUUUCCAACUUCAUAUGAUAAUUUUCUUAUGAAGGCUAUUUGAUGUAUUAAGGUUCAAUUUACAUACUAUAUAUAUAUAUAUAUAUAUAUAUAUAUAUAUAUAUAUAUAUUGUGUGUGUGUGUGGAUGCUAAAUGUGUGCAAUUUCUUUAAUAAUUGUACUAGAUGUUCAAGCUAUGCUAAGUUACAGAGCUAUAUAUGUUUGAUGUUUGAAUUUCAUUAGUUACAUGAGAUUCAUUAGAUGAGAUGAGAUGAAUUAUUCUAUUCAGAAAUCUUAUUGAUGUAGAUGUGAAUUAUAAUAAUUCUUGAAUUGUGAUAAGUGUUGAUGCCAAAUCAAUAAUUUGGGCAAUUAAUAGUAUAGUUUGCACUUUGUGCGACAAUGGAUUUAUGUAGAUAGAUAUGGAUAUGAUUACACCACGUGCAAUGAUAUGAUGGCAAUUAUAAGAAAUAAAGUGCUAGACCAAUAUCCACACUUAGGUGCAAUCCAAAGAAAUUUUCUAAAAAUUGGAUUGUUUAAGAUGCUAAGUUCUAAACAGCAAGAACUAUGAUGAGAAAUAUGUCGAUUUUAAUUGUUUUAAAAUAUGGUGAUGGUUAGGAUGAUGUUAGAAAUGUUUUUUGAUAAGGAAUCUAAAUUAUUCCUUAUAUAUUAUUUUUAUGACUUCACAAUUAUUGUUUCAAUUGUUGAAGAUUUCAUCAUAUGUUAUUCUAAUCCUAUGGUGUUGUUUAUUCAACCGUUUAUACUUUCUUGGAAAUUGAAUGCUCACCAUUGCUAAAUACAAAUAUUUUUUAGCUAAGCCAAAGCAGAUCAAAGGAUUCGAUAAAGUCAGAAGAUGAAGAAUUAAUGCUUGAAGAUGCUUUGUAUUAAUCCCCUAACUCUUUGUUGGAAGGUGGAGCUGCAUAAGAGGGUAUAAUACCCAGAGGAAAUCCAUUGCUGAUAAAUUAGAGUUGUUGGAUUCUAAAGGCUCGGCUAGCUCGAGCUCUGUCCAGUGGAAUGAGUUUGCCGAGAACGGCUUGAGCUGAGCCGUGAAGGGUUUGUGGGCAAGCGAUGUUCAGGUCCCAAAACUUCGAGUCCAUGGUCGUUCUCAGGUUGGCCAUUUUCGGCCAAUUUAUAGCACCAGUUAGAAGAAAGUUUUUUGAGCAAGAGAGACUGGAGACAGAAAGCCCCCAACUCUUUGUUGAAAGAUGGAGCUGUGUCGACUCGGGGGACUAGCUUUCCUGGAUUUUUUUAUUUCUUACCCUUUGUAUUUCGCUAGGUUGAUGAUUUAUUUAAAGGAUGAGAUUUUAUGAAAUGACCAACAUAUAUACAUGUCGAGGAUUUUGAAAAGGUUGAUUUUAUGCAAUUAGACCAAAUUAGACAAAGUCAUCAGGUGGUAUGAGUUCAAAAGGAUGUAACAAUUCAUCCAGAUUUUAAAAGGUUUUUUGUAAUAUGGCCC